rnacentral:tRNA from 1 species
GCGAAAGUGGUGAAAUUGGCAGACACGCUAGAUUUAGGCUCUAGUGCCGUGAGGCUUAGGGGUUCAAGUCCCCUCUUUCGCA